rnacentral:lncRNA from 1 species
CUAGUCCGGGCCUUGGGGGAGUCCCCGGAGUCCCCGUGGCUUUCCAGCUCCAGGCUCGGGAGAGGGUGACCUUGGAGCCGGGAUUUCACUUCUACAGCGCUGUGGUGCCGGGGGGACAGGGAGAAGGGCUCCCUGGCCCCCAGUUCACGAGGAGAAGGGGCCUUGACCGGUCAGGACCACCACCCUACGACGCCGCUCAGCUCUGGGCGAUUCUCUCCUCCCUUGCUGAAGCAGGCAUUGAGAGCCUGCGUUCCUCCCGCUCUGUUUCCGUUUAGGUAAAAUGGAUAGAAUAAUAGUACUUACCUCAAAGGAUUGUUGAAGAGAAUCAACAAGAUGAUAUCCCUGAAGCACUGGGAAUAGUGUCUGGCACACAGCACUCUCCCAGGAGCACACCGCGGCGCUAGAGAAGACCAGGAAAAAGGACCUGAGCCAGCUUGCCGUCUUAACAAAAAUUUCAAACUUUGCAAAGCGGUAUACCUUCUUAUUCUCCAGUUCAGUAUUGCCAGUGAAGUCAUACUGAACGCAGACAAGGAAAAGAAAGAAAAAGAAACUCAAUGAGAUAUGUUGUCAUCUUCCCUGUUUUAUGGAUGAAGUUCUAAGUAGAGGUUCGGAGAAGAUGUUCAGCCUCAGAACGUAGCCACCUUGCUGUGAGAAAGCCCAACCAUCUUGUACAGCGAGACCACAUGGAGAGGCGCAUGUGGAAAGGAACGGAGGCUACAAGCCGAUAGCCAGCAUCGACUGCCAGGCACGGAGAGUGAGUCUUCAGAUGAAUCCAGCCUCAGCCUAGAGUCUUUUGUCUCAGGCCCCAGACACUGUGGAGCAGGGACAAGCCAUCCCCACUGUGUCCCACCCGCAUUCCUGAUCCACAGAAUCUAUGAGCACAAUAAAUAGUUGC